UGUAUGUGUGUCUACUGCUGACAAAGACCUUAAUGGCCAAAAGCUUUAAUUGUGUGAAUAUUUUUAUAGUGCCUAUCAUGACUCAGCAUCUCAGCUACAUGCAGGAGGUCUCUGGGAUGACGGCCAUUUACUAUCGCCAUAUGAUGGUUGAAGUGUCGACACAUUAUCUGCGUAUCCAGUAAUGCUGGCAACAGAUAUGGUACGCAUGGGAAUCACAUCAACCUGUAUCACAUCAAAAACAGCCUGAAGAUGACGCAAUGAAGUGUUGAAACUGGUAGCGACAAAAUAAAAUAAAAUCAUAAGGACAA